UGAACUGUUGUAGGUCAUUUCUUGAGUUCGGAUGCUAGUGAAGACUUUUCAUCAAUAAAAGCAAUAUUAACCAACAGUUUCUGUAGUGAUUUCAAGUUCCUUCUAAUAGUAAUGGUUGGGGUGAACCACAUAUUUCAUCAUAGCUUGUAAAACUAAUAUAUUUUUGUUUGAAAUAUGUUUUAUUUCUUAAUCCUAAUGUCCUUUUAGCUUACAUAGUCAUUAAUAUUUAAAAUUGAAUAUAACUAGCAGAAUGUUGGAAAAAUUUACAUGUUCAUGAAUUGUAGGGGUUGAAAACUCCUGUUAAUUUUAAUGUGAAAUGCAUAAAUUGCAGGGGUUUUGGACUCCCACACUCACAAAUUGUUGGGGUUCUGAUUCCCAGAAUAUGAAGUGUUGGUUUAUUGAUAUUAAUUUUCGGGGUUCAAAACCCCCGCUAAUACCCCCUGCUACUGGUAACAAGGGUCGGUGAAAAACCCGUGUGACUUAAUUGUGAAAGACCUAACAAACAGGGUUUUUUGCAAUUGCCGUAACAACAAACAGGGGGGGGGUUACUGACCGCCACAAUAUAUAAUUUUAACUCCCGCAAUUUGUAUGCUUUUUUGUAGUGUUGGAGUGAUCUGCCAUUAGGUAGUUCUCCUGUGCGGCACGAAUUGAGCAUGCUUAUUUGCGUGUAUCGUGCACUAGUGGAAUAGUAGGGGGCAACUGGGUGGUAUUAGUAUCAAGGGUAGGGUUUGGAUGAGCGACAAGGUUAGACUCAUUUGGAGAAGAAAUGUUUUCCCCUUGUUAAAGAAGAAGUUUUUUGAUUCAAGUGAGAAAACGUAUUGCCAAAUGGAAAAACAUUUUCACAAUUUUACAUCUCAGAGAGAAAAAAAAAUUUGGAACAUGGGAAUGACGAGUACUGGUGAAACUUAGAUACACACAAGGUUUGAAGCACGCUUCUAAUUUAUUUUGGGCAUAUGGUCGAAGCCACGGGUAGCACAAAUAACAAAAAAUACGAAGAUAUGCGUAAGCUAGUUUGUCAUUAAAAAUAACUUCAAAUGGUGACUUUUUAUUAAGGGUGUUGGUGGGUAGACAGUUCAUGAGAUAUGUGGCAUGAUGAAAGGGAAACUACCAAAUAUCGGAUGGUAAAGCAACUUGAUGAAGUAGUGUUUUAGAUGUCUCAACUAGGUGACGAUUGCGUCUUUCAGCCAUGGCAACCCGUUGAGGCAUGUAUGGAGGAGAUUAAGGUGUUGUAUGCCUUUAGAAUGAAUAUAUGAGUCAAGUAUUUGAUAUUCGCCUCCUCUAUCACCGUAAAGGGCGAGUGUUUGUGUAUCAAAAUGUUUUUCGAGAACAGGAUGUAAGUGGUGAAAGUUUUGUUGAACUUCAGUUUUCUUUUUCAGUGUGUAUAACCGGAUGUACUUGCUAUACUAAUUAACAAAAAUACAAUAAUAACAUUUUUUUUAUCAGUUGAAAGCACUAGGGAGGGUCCCAACAGAUCACUGUAAGUAUUUCUAAUGGCGAUUUGCUAGACAAUGUGUUUGAAGAAAAUGGAAAUUUGUGGGCUUUAUUGCAACAACACUACAGUAAGUGAAUUUAUCUUUCAAAGAAUAAGAAAGACUGAAAUUAUUUAAAAUGCAAAAUAACACUUGAGAAUGGGGGUGACGAAUCUUUUGAUGUCACAGUUGUAAGGAAGAUGUAAGGAAGGGUUGGUAACAACAAUAUUGAUGGUUGGGCGAGAUAGUGGCGGCCAUUCAUAGGGUCCAACUUUAUUCGGGCCGCAGAGAAAGGGAGUCCUUGUAGUGAGAUCCUUCACAAGAAAAUCGAAGGACAAAACUCUGUUGAGGUUAUGCUGUCUUGGCAAAAUUCAUAAACUGAAAGAAGCUUACGCUUGAUAGCAGGAGCAUAUAAUACAGUAGAGAGUUUAAAGACAUUUUUUGUGCAAAUAUGAGUUACCAGUUUGAGUAAUUGGAAUCACAUUACUAUUACCCAUCGUCACGUUCUCCAUCCAUUCUAAGUCUGGGCAUCGGAGGUGAUGUGGUGAGAUGCACUCGACUCGACAAUUCAGGGUCAUGCGCCGCUGUAUUGGGCAACAGAAUUAGCCUUUGUUUCAAAGUGGUUAUGGGAUUAGGACCUACAAACAUUUGUCGUAUGUCCAAAUUUGUAACAAAGCUGAUAGCGGACUCGUGACGGUUGUUGUGGGAAAUUCCGCCAUUGAGAACUAUUGUCCAAAUCUUGGGGAGUGGUGUCUUGAGUGGGUUGUCUAGUAGGGGGACGCCAGUUGUUGUUCGGUGGGCAUUGAGUAUUGCGUGAGGCUGAUUGGGAAUAUUGUCGUGUUGAGCAACAUCAACGGUCACCUGAGUGGUGGUCUUUUUUUUGUCCUCUUGUUUGAGGAAAACUUGAUGAUCAAGAAGUUCAUCAAAAAGUUCAGUGUAGCUAAUGUCAAAAUCGCGUGCUCGUAUUGUCGCUGAAAUUUUGAGGAACUCCAGGCAAGGCUACUAAAUAUUCUCACCACAAGUUCUUCCUUAUUGACCGGUGAAACGGCUGUGGUGAGUUAAUCAAAUAGAGAUCAAAUCUCACGCAAGUAGUCAUCAAUAGAUUUGUUAUCCUUGCUGACCCGACUUGGAUGGUGACGGAGGCUGAAGAUGCUAAUUUGAGAUUUGUUCUCAAAAGAGGUGUGAAGAAUCAUAGAAUAAUGAUAAUAUCCAUGGAAAAGUGAAUUUUUACCGAAUACCUAAUGACCUCGAGAAUUUUUUGAAUAUCUCGAUUAUUAGCGUUUCUUCUCGAGGGCAAAUACCACCGCAAUUAACCUUAUUUUAGCGAUUAUUUUCAGAACUCGAACCACCUUUACGUAACAACGGCUAAUAACAUGAGCUAACUUUUUGAAAACUUAUACUGUUUGUAGGAGAAUUUUCUGACAAGAAAUUGGCCAGGGUGAAAAAAGGAAAAAAUAUUGAAGUAAUAACAAAAAUAUAAGUUAGAAUGAUAUAGUUCUACCUCCAUUUGUCUAUGAUCAUUGUAAGAGUACUUUGGGGCAUAUAUUCAAGAAAUAUCAGUGAUACAGGAAAUCAUUGAAACUUUGAUAUCUUCGUUGGUAUGCCCCAAAAAUUCGUCCCUAACCAACACUUUCAUUAAAGGUUGUAUUGCACUUGUGGUCGAAUCAAAUGGGUCCUGACUAACCACUUUCAGUAAAAAGACUCAACUUUCUAGCAAAAAGAAAAGGGGAAAACAAAAGUCGAGUCUUUACUGAAAAUGGUUAGUCAUGACCCAUUUGAUUCGACCACAAGUACAAUUCAACCUGUAAUAAAAGCAUUGCUUAGGGACGAACUUUUGGGGCAUACCAACGAAGAUAUCAAAGUUUCAGUGAUUUCUUAAAUCACUGUAAUUUCUUGAAUAUAUGCCCCAAAGUACCCUCACAAUGAUCAUAGACAAAUGGAGGUAGAACUAUAUCAUUCUAACUUAUUUUUCUGUCAUUUCUUUAAUAUCUUUUCCUUUUUUCAUCCUGACCAAUUUCUUGUUACGAAAUUAUCCGGCAAACUGUAAAUGCUUUUAAAAAGUUAGCUCAUCUUACUAGCUGCUGUUACCGGAAGGUGAUCCGAGUUCUGGAAAUAUUCGCUAAAGUAAGGUUGACUGGGUGAUAUUGAACCUCGAGAACGAAACUCUAAUAAUCGAGAUAUUCAAAAAUUUUCUUGAGGUCAUCAGGGAUAUGACUGAGGUGUUUGAAAAAAAUUCAAAGAGGAAAGACAGAUUCCAUCAUCAGCAAUCUUCGUGUUUGGAAUUUGGCUAUUAAACUCAUAACCUACCUGAAGAAUAUGAAGACUUGGCUACUUUUCUGGGAAGCUGUUUACCUCUGAGGUUGUUUCCGUUAAUGCAUCAACAUAUCGUUACUGCCAUCACAGUUGAGAGAGGAGCUGAAAUAUGAUUCCAAGAAAAGAUUACUUGAUUGGGGUAGUGGGAAUCUUAAUUACGGACAAGAAAAGGGUGUUUUGCUACUAUGUUUGAAUGAAGGUUGGACCUGAAACUUCAUCAACUUCCUUGCAAAUAACUCAAGGGCCUAAUGCUCAUGCCUAGAGUAUCAACUGUGAGAGCAUUCUUAUUCAUAGCUUCUUGAUAUUUGAUUCAAAAUAUUUGAUUGAUAAUAGCACUACAAUAUUUUUGUGGCACAGUGAUGUACGAGUUGUUUGUAAAUUCUGCUCGAUUCAACUAUAAGUUUACCUAGAUGACACUGAAGUUCUUAAUUACUUGAAGUCCAUAGCUAUACGUUCACAUUUUGGUUACAUUAAUUUUGUCUAUUUUGCUCAAUUCAACUAUAAGUUUACCUAGAUGACAUUGAAGUUCUUAAUUAUUUGAAGUCCAUAGUUAUACAUUCACAUUUUGGUUACAUUAAUUUUGUCUAUUCAUGAGUUAAUUUUUCAGUUGAUAUACAAAUGUGACCUUUCUUUUGAAAAAAAGAGUGUAUGACCUAUCCUUUGUUGGUGUGGUGACUUCUCUUCUUGGAGCUCAAUUCUCUUGGAGGGCUUUUUGUGAAAUUUUAUUGUUAGUGUUUGGUCUUUCUGGAAAAAAGAAUGUAUCACCUAUCCUUUUAUUGCUUGGAGUUUAAUUCUCUCAGAGAGCUUUUGGAUGACUAUUUUUAUUAGUGUUAGUUAUCGUAUUGGUCCCACGUGGAAAAUUUAAAAGUUGGUAGGUUUAGUAUUUUGUUUAAGCGAUUUUAUUAAGAGGAGGCAUUCCAAAUAGAGAUAUUGUUACUUAAUAUGUAUUGUUGAAGAUUAUUGAACAUAUAGAGGAAUGAUCUUACGUUGUCAUGCAUAUUUGCAUUGUUAGUAUUCAUAUCUUUGAAAUUCCAUCAUAUGUCUAAUUUAGGAAAGAAAAUAUUUCAUGAUUUUCUCAAUAAACUUAAAAUUGGAGUUCUCUACCGACGACUGAUAAUACAAAACUCCUCUGAUGUUGGGCCCGUACUAAGCACCGACCAAGUCUAUCUAGUAUAUAUAUAUAUAUAUAUAUAUAUAUAUAUAUAAGCCAACAAGAAAAGGAAUAACACUGCAGUUCAUAAUUGUACCUCAUGGCGUUUGAAUUGUACUAUUUAUUUAAGCUUUGCUAUAGUAGGUUGUCCACGUGUAGGUAGUUUGAAGCAUGUGUCUUUCCAUUACUCUCUCUUCCUACACCUUAACCAAGAUUUCCUCUAAAGUCUAUUUUCUUUGGAGGAGCUUCAAGCUCUCUGUAAGUUCACUCAUGAAGUUGGAUAAAAGGCAUCAAAGGUCAUGUGUUAAGCAAUUCUUCGGAGUGCAUGCUAAGAGUGCUAAAACGAUUUCCUAUUUGACUUUUAGAGGUAAUCUGAACCUCUCUUGUGAGUGCAGAAUGUUGUGUACUAUCACAUUCUCUAACUCUUAUAUCUCUCGACAUUAAUUUGUUAGUCCUUUAUAUGUCAUGACCAUUUACUUUUCUAUAUGAACAAGAUUUGUUUUACCUUCAGAUGUUCUAUUUUGAUAUAAUAUGUGCAUCAAAUCUUUGAAGUGCAACUUUAUGCAAGAAAAAUACGUUCCUAAUUAGAAUUUUGAAAAUAUUAACAUUACUGACAAUUCUUUUACUGAAUUUUAGGAAGGAGAGAAUUGGCUUCUAGGCUUCUGGCAUUACUCCUAAAGAUUAAUUUCCUUGCUGAUUUAAAGAUUAUGCAUUAGUUUCGUUAAAGCUAUUAAUAUCUAUAUAUAGGACAAGCACUAUGGUAGCAAAGUAGUUUCUUUUUGAUUGUGUGAUUUUUAAGCUCUGCUGAAUAUGAUGAAAAAAGGUAAAUUGUAAAUCAUUCCAUUGCUGCUAACUUGUAUUGUUUUAACUGUAUGUUUGGAGCUUUCAUAUGGUUCAGAAUAAUCUGUUUUGUGAAUUAACUUCUCAUGUUGCUAUCGCUUCAGCAACGCGACAACAUCUAUACAAAUUAUUUCAAAAAAUUGAAGAAAUUCUCAUAAACAGAAGGAUGACAAGGUUAUGGUGGUCAUCUUGCUUCAAAUAGUUGGGGUGGGACAUGUGUUCAACCGGAGAUUUCAGUGUUUUUACUUAAAAUAGUUAAGUGGCUAACAUGUGUUCCAUUUGUGUUUCUUUUUUUCAUAAUUUUUUUGUUAAUUUAGAAUAUAAAUUGACAAAAAAAAAAAGAAGGCUAGAGAAGAAUGGGAGCUGAGGAUUCACCGGAGAAACCAAAGAAAAAGAACACAAAAAGGAGUUGAGAGGGAAACGUUAUCUUCGUUCAAAGAGAUAUUAUUGCCUCAAAAGUUUUCAUCUUUCAUAGUUUUAUCUGUGAUUAAUCUGGCUGAAAUAUCUUUGAUUGAUUAAGCCCCUCAAACUAAAUACAACUGUUAACCUUAUCAUCCUGAGCUACUUUAGUUUCAAGCUUCCUGGCGAUUUCAUAGCUCUAGAUUUAAUAAUGACCAAAGUCACCAGCAUGCCUUGGAGAAAAUAAUUCAAUUAAGAUCGGUAUAUAUAUAGCUACCUCAAAGUUAAGGACUCUGCUGAGAAGUUCACUGUGGUUCAUUUCAGUGUUUGUCCUUUCUGAUGGACGCUCACAAGCCAUCUUUUAUCACCCAUCUGUAAGUCUUUGCUCAUCAUUCUCAUGUUUAUUCAGUGAAGGAUAUAGAUAUUCCCGCUCAACUAAUUUAGAAUUGAUCUUCUAAUGUGUCUCUGAGGGAUAUAUAAAAGAUAGGUAUAGUUUACUUCAAUUUAUUUGGAUUUGAUGCUUAGUUAAUUGAUUGAUUCAUGUCAUUUGUCCAAGUUAAUUCUUUAUGGACAAAAAAGAUUAUUUUUUUUCUACAAUAAUGUGAAAGCACAUUAAGCAAGGGAAAACACUCCACCAUGUUUUUAGCCUCGCUUCAGGGCUUAAGACGUCUUUGACAAUACUGGGAGAAUCGACGUCUGCAUUAUUUAUGGUGAAACAUGUUUGCCAAGUAGAGAUCUCAAGUGAGCAUUUCAGUGUCUUCAGAAGACAGUUUGUUUCUUUUGCUUUUUAUGAAAAUAAAUUAUCACCUAUUAAGCAGCAACCUGUUUGUUUUGACUUAGAGAUGUUACAUAAUGCAUUGUCUAUGUGAAGUCUUUUUUUAUGAAUGGUAUGCAAUUUCAGUAUCAAAUCGAUUUUAUUUGGGGUGUUCAUUUCAGUAUGUGUAGAAUAAUUGUGUUUUUCUAAGGGAACAUAACAAGCAUCAUAGAUUGUCUUCAUCGGUUAAUGUUACAUAUUCAAUUAUCAAAUCCGUCACUCUGAUUUCUCUUUGGCUGACACAACGUCUAUAUAUUCCCACGGCAAGAAAUUUCGGGUUGUAACCAACCUUGUGAGUUCCAUUGCCAAACAACAUCACCUGAUUUCUUGGCAAAAUACCAGGUUGAUUUCAAUGUGUGUAAGGAAACACAUUCGUUAGUUCUCGUGGACAAUUUAAUGAGAUCGUAGCACAUUGUGAUUUUUCAGUUUUAUCUUAACUGAUUCAAACACCGUCUCCUAAAUUGAUCCUUAGAUGUGCUAGAGGAGUGAGUCUGUUUUCGAAGAACUCAUCUUUUUAUUCAGUUUUCAUCUAUGUUGUUCGGACUCUUCAAAGAUAUCUAUGAGUGCAUGUCGGAUUCGCUCAAAGUAGUGUACAUUUAGAGUAUUCAACAUGGGCAAUGUCAGAUUUUAUAUUUUGCUGUCAAAAGGCUUUCCAGUCUGCUAGAAGAGAGAGGCAAAGUGACAACUGAAAUAGUUCUCAUCUCGAUAGAUCUCUCAAUCAUUUUAGUCAUUAUUUCCAUAUUGAGCUUACAUAAGUCUUUUGAGAUCUAUUUGGAAAGCCCAUGUAUUCAUCAUUAUGCUUCUUUGAAUUGAAUUAAAAUAGAUAGUGUGUAAUUGCUCUGUAGGUUGGUGACCUUAAAAAGAUUGGUGCAAGAUUUUCCUGUGGAGUUCCUGAA